rnacentral:rRNA from 1 species
CAGUCGCCACGGUAAUACGUAGGGGGCUAGCGUUAUCCGGAUUUACUGGGCGUAAAGGGUGCGUAGGUGGUCCUUCAAGUCGGUGGUUAAAGGCUACGGCUCAACCGUAGUAAGCCGCCGAAACUGGAGGACUUGAGUGCAGGAGAGGAAAGUGGAAUUCCCAGUGUAGCGGUGAAAUGCGUAGAUAUUGGGAGGAACACCAGUAGCGAAGGCGGCUUACUGGACGACAACUGACGUUGAGGCUCGAAGGCGUGGGUAGCAAACAGGAUUAGAUACCCCAGUAGUCCCUGUCUCUUAUACA